ensembl:lncRNA
GAGGGAGAGGCAGCAGCAGCAGGCCCCGGUGUGGUAGAGGCAGCAGCAGCAGGCCCUGGUGUGGUAGAAACAGCUGCUUGCACAAGUAGUGAGAGUGCUGAGGGAGAUGCAGCAGCAGCAGGCCCCAGUGCAGUAGAGGCAGCAGCAGCAGGCCCCAGUGCAGUAGAGGCAGUGCUAGUAACCAAGCAGCACAGUUCUAAACAGUGCCAUCUUUAGACACACUAAAAAGUGCUUUAUUCUCAUGUGGGUAAAUGGAGAGGAGAGUUAAAUCUGUGAAAGGUCUAUUCCAGACCUGUGGGAAACUCUGACCACUAAUGGUUCCAUUAAACCUGCUCUGAGCUGUCGCUUUCCUUGUUACUGUAUUUGUCCUGUGGUCACAGCUUGGUCUAGCUAAUGACAGAGGAAAGCAUGUGGAUUAAUCUUAGGUCGACAGACACACAAUGGGCCUGAGUCACAGCAGAUGUUUACUAAUUACAGCAUGAUCAACCCCCUUCGUUACACUCAAAGGCACAAUGCGUUCACAUUGGAAUAGGCUGACCUGGGAAUACUGUGUCCCAACCCAAAUGAGCACUGUGCAACACUGUGUGGUGCAAACAGAUUGGUUAAUGGAAGCUGUGGGUUAGUUAGGAUGACAAGAGCAAGCAAUGACUCAAGCAUGUUUCAAUGUUUACUGGUCUUGUUUAGUAGAUAUCAUAUAAGAGUAACUGUUCACAUUGGGUUUGUAACCUCAGAUCACUGUGUCUUUUCACUAUUUGCGUAUUUAAAUGUUACCCACAAACAAGGGAGUUUCUCAAAGCACCACUCAAUUAAAUAAUCAUGCUAGUUAUCGACUAUAUAUGUCCAGGUCGUGGGUUUUUCACUGUAAUGUCCACUAUGGUGUGCAGAAAAAAAUGUGUGUAUAUGUGCCUCUCUGUUGUCAAUACCCUAUGAGUGUCUGUAUGUGUGUAUUUCUUUCCCGACCAUGUGGGAGGCAAUUAGAAGGCCUGCAGCAGCGGACCAGGGACACAACAGUACAAGGGGAAUAACUUAUUCAUGUGGAGACAUUGGUGGAUAGCAUUUCAAUCCCCAAACCUUGUCGUCAGCCGCACACCGCAAGCCGCACCGAAGCUCGUUUUCAGCCACAGCCAGGGGUUUUAAUAAUGCAACAUUACUAAACCAACUGUGAAGCAAAAACAAAGAGAGGACGUGACACUCGUCAAGCCAACAUCUGUUCCAUGCCGACCAACAACACCCAUCUGUUGUGCAACAGCAUUCUUGCCACCAGCAACAUACCUGUGGCCUUCAGCUGGACAACUUAUGUGCGCUAUGGUUAGAAUGCAGACAGACAAUACAGAGCCCAAAAAAGGUGAUAAAUUGCUCGUGGUGACAUUCAACUGGACUUACCCGUUGAAGACUCAACAACCGGUGGAUAAAGAUCUCCGCUUCCCUUCCUGUACACUUUGAGGAGGCACAAUUGUUUCCCUCUCUCUCUCUCUGAAAAAAGAAAGAAAAGCUGUGUUCAAGCCAACAAUGAAAUCAACUCUGAAGAAUACUGGAUAUGGCGCUAGUCUGCGCCACCGAAUACGCUUAGAGCAACGCUUCUGACAUCUGACCUGCCUACCUGUCAUGGCCUGUGAUAUGCUGCAAAGUACUGCGGUGUUGAGGUCAAUUUGGACAAGGAGAGAGUGAGAAGAGGAGGAGAGAGAGAGGGGGAGAAAGAGAGAGGGAGGGAGGGAGGGAGAGUGAGAGAGAGAGAGAGAGAGAGGGAGAG